UUAUAGAAAGCCUUUUAUCCUUAUAGCCCACCCUUACUUGAAUUUGAACAAAACCUUAUCCUAAUAUCCCUCAAAAUAAAAUAUCCUACUGCACCUCCACCUCUUCCGUAAAUUUUUCUCACGGAAGGAAUCAUGGGAUUUUUCUUCUCCAUGCGGUUUUUCCCUCAACCAACUCCUCCAAAUCUUUCACUAGAAAAAUCUCUAAACACAUGAUCUUUCAAAAAAGGGCUUAUCCUUUUCCUCAAUCUUCUUCCCAAAACAUAUGGAGAAAAAAAAGAGGGCAGAACCGAAAAAAAAAUCAAAUCAAAGGAUCGGUUACUCAAGGAGAAGACUCGGGGACCAUUCUUUCUUUGCAGAACCGAGAGUAUUUCGAGGAGCAGGCUCAGCGGCACUGAUCACUGGUUAUCCUAUCAAUUCUCCAGUUUAUUUGUCUUAGGUAGUUAUUUUGACUGAGACUUUUCCUGUAACCACAUGUGGUUCUCCAGACUAUGAUAUAUUUUUUCUUUUUUCCUACUUUGGAUAGUUGUGGACUUGUAGUAGAACUUUGUCUUUUCAGAGAUUUCUUUAUCUAUCUAUUUUCUCUGUUACCUUAGUUA